rnacentral:rRNA from 1 species
CCUACGGGAGGCAGCAGUAGGGAAUCUUCCGCAAUGGACGAAAGUCUGACGGAGCAACGCCGCGUGAGUGAUGAAGGUUUUCGGAUCGUAAAACUCUGUUGUUAGGGAAGAACAAGUACCGUUCGAACAGGGCGGUACCUUGACGGUACCUAACCAGAAAGCCACGGCUAACUACGUGCCAGCAGCCGCGGUAAU